GCUAUGCGUUCAUCGGGAUUGGGGCUGAGGGCAGCUUGAAGGAUUAAAGCUAGGCUAGGGAGAUCCAUAGACGGAAUAUUAAGUAUCAAUAACUGGACUAAGAAUUGAAUUCCAAACCCGAAAUUCAAAAAUCGAGAUUGAUCUUGGAGGUAACUAAACCCUAGCUGGAGCUCAACUGUAACCAGAAAGGACGUCUCCGAGUUUAGAGAGAGAAAAAAUAAGGAGGGGCAGAGAGACACAGACAGAGUGAG
rnacentral:misc_RNA from 1 species